rnacentral:rRNA from 1 species
UACGUAGGGUGCGAGCGUUGUCCGGAAUUAUUGGGCGUAAAGAGCUCGUAGGCGGUGUGUCACGUCGGCCGUGAAAACCUGCAGCUUAACUGUGGGCGUGCGGUCGAUACGGGCAUCACUGGAGUUCGGCAGGGGAGACUGGAAUUCCUGGUGUAGCGGUGAAAUGCGUAGAUAUCAGGAGGAAUACCGAUGGCGAAGGCAGGUCUCUGGGCUGACACUGACGCUCAUGCACGAAAGCGUGGGGAGCAAACAGG